CUAGAGACACCCCCUAUUUGUUAUUGCGGAUAUGCUAUGACAUUCAUGCCUAUUGUUUCAUUUGUAUCCUCUGCGCCACUUUGCAAAUAUAGUCCCAAAUUUCAGGUUGCAUGUUUUUGCUUUAUGAGUAACUUAUCCUGUUGUCUAUUGAUUGUUCUUGUUUGCUGCCUUUUUACAUGACACUUGUCAUGUGCUGCAACUGCCAAACUGUCUUAUUAACGCAAUGAUGCAAUAUAAUUAGCAUUAUUUUGUUUUUGCCUUGAUCUGAAGUGGAGAUGUCUAAAUUUGCAUUGAUUCACUAACCAUUAUGAGUAUUGACGCAAUUAUGCUAGAGCUUCAGACCUUUGACAUUUUGAGCAGCAUAUUAUUGUUAAUCCGUUGUUGUAAUUAACUUCUAAGGAUCCAAAGCUGUUGGCACUUGUUUCCUAGAUGCAUCAUUCCAGAUGUUAAUAGAUCGCAUAAUUCAUGAACACCAGGGAAUGCAUAUUCAUCUAUAGACACCAUCCGAAAUUAUACGUACAACAACAUGUCUAUUUGGCUGGCUAUAAGCGUAGAGCAGGUUUCGCUUGAAAAGAGGCGAGUUGGUUUAUUUUCAGGAUGUACUCGAUCCACGAUAUAGACGCUCCACAUACAACGGUAAAUAGGGCGUUUGUUAGCUGUGAUUAGACUGUCGAUAACUUAACAGACAGACUAAGUCGUUUUUCAGUUAAUCUCUUCCCCAUGUGAUCUAAAAUAUCACGUAGCUCAUGUUACAGACAGCUGAUUAGAUGCCGUUGUACAUGCCCUUACAUCACUUUUGGCUUGAGGUAAAAAAACCAAAAAUAUGGACAGUAAGAACGAUUUGCAUCUGAUGUUCUUGUUCACGAUUAGUAUUAUUUUUUGGCCGUAGUGGACGAGUAGUUCGCAAGUUGCCUGGCCAGCAACAGCUUUGAUUUACGUACAUGGCAAGAACAAAUGGCGCCCUACCAAGUCAACCACAUCGUUUCACAGCACACACCUGCGGAUUCCUUCUUCUUUUUCAAUAAAAUAUCAACUCCCCAAUGCUCUGCUGAUUUUGUUUAUAGAAGAAUUACAGAAAACGUUUCAUUCAUAUAAAAUUCACAAGAUUACCUGUAGCCAAGUGGAGUAUGAUUCAACAAAGAAGCAUGCUAGCAUAUCACAGUUUUCAUAUUUUCUCGAUCAAACGUGCCCAGGACUGAAACAAAAUGGCCCGAGGCGAUUUUACACAGAUUAUUCAAGUACAUUAAAGAUAUCCAGCCUGUUGAUUAUUCUGUAGUACAUUAUUUGACACAAUACCAAGUAUAUUAUCCAGACUUGCUGUACCUUUUUGCAGUUGUGACAACCCACAGAGGUUGGUCAAUCCAAAUUAUAUGUGCUUAUCAUCUUUGUCUCCUUCGUUGCUUUGUAAGAACUUGCAGCUGAGACUAUCUACAAGGAGAGAUGCAUUGCUGUAGACGAUGGAGAUAGUUGGCCAAGUACCAAGAGCAAGGUACCUUGCAAAACUAUUUGCGUUUUUUGCUGUUCGCGUUGCGUGGCCGCUUCGUUUGCUUGCACUGUGCUCCGAUCUGGUGAAGGGCGCCAAUGAGAAGCAGCUCACGGUCAAGGGCCCCGCCAGGAUGUCCACCAAGGUGCUCAACAUCACCACCAGGAAGUCCCCCUGUGGAGAAGGUAGUCGCCUACCACUCAUGUGAUCUAAAAUAACAUUAUGUAAAACAAUCUAACGAGCAAUGGGUCCAGCCAAAUGCUGAACCAUCUAUUCCUUCAUCUUCUUAAUUAGUGAGUGGGGCAAAUCUUUUACUUCGAUUCGAAAAUAGUCAGGUUCACAAAAUUUGCAUGCAGCAGCAGCAUGUAGUGCAUGCAUUAGUCGUAUCAAAUCCUGUCAAGUAAUAUUAGUAGUUUCAUUAAGAAAAAUGGACUGCAGAAAGCAGUAUAUUCUUUGGUA